GUGUUAUGGGUGGUUGCUAGGGUGUUGCUAUGGAGUUAUGGGUGGGUGUUAGUCUGUUGCUAGGGAGUUAUGGGUGGUUGUUAGUCUGUUGCU